GGAAAAAAAAUGGAAAUUUGAUCUUCUGUGGGGUGAUAAAUUAGAUACUACCUGGAACCCUCAGGGCCAUAGGAUGUGAGAUNCCCCCUUUCCCCCAGGGCAAGCCAGAGGGGGGGCCGUUACUGAGUCUGACUGCCAGAAAGGGAGAGAGCCUUAAGCCCUGUGGGACAUUGUAAAGGAGAUGAAAAUGCUUUCAGUCUAGACCGUCUGCUGCUUUAACCACAGUGCCUUCCUCACCCACCACUUUUUUAUUAUUAUUUUUAGUUUACAGUGGAAGAGCACUUACAUUUACUCAUAAUUGUCUCAGUUGGGCCAUAUUUGUCAGAAUGGUAAAUGUUAGUUAUAAGGAGGAAAAACACUUUUUCAUUUUGGAUGUUUUACUUUUCAUUGCUUGUUGAAACUGUUUUGCAACGUGUGACUUAUAGAAAAACUAAUUUAAUUGAAUACAUCUGUGAAUACCCUGGUCUUCUCAUAAGAAAGACCAGCAGGAAGGAUAGCAACCCUCACGUUCUCCUUCAGGACACCCUCCAGACCUCCCCGCCUGGCUGCCUGACAUCACUCCAGAUGUUUAAUCAGACCUACAAGCUCUAUUCUUACAGCUACCUGGGGCUCGGUUUGAUGUCGGCGCGGCUGGCGAUUCUGGGUGGCAUGGAGGGGAAACCUGACGUGGCGUUGAAGUGGAGAUGGAACCUAUGUCAGGGCAAGAUGUUCCUCCCAGGCCUUCUCUGAUCUUUCCUGACUGGCCUGGCUGAGGAGAAGCCUAGAGCUGGCCACCAGGCUACAUGAAAUCUUAGGAGGUCUUAGGGGAUCACUGUCCCAAUUUGGGAGUAGGGGAACACUGCUCUGAGGCUGGCAUUGGCCUGUCUUUCCUGAUGACAUCGAUCAUGGCCCAAAGGCCUUGACCCUUGACCCAUGCCUCUGGUGCAGAUGUGUGCAUGUGAGCCCACACAUAUGCUCCAGCCACAGGCCCUUCCCUCAACCCUGCCUUUCCUUGCCCCAUACCUGCUCCCCUCCACAGGCCUAGCACUUCUCUGCACUUCUUCCAAGGGCCUGGUCGUUCUGACUGGAAUUUUUGUUUUUCACGUACAUCUUAUUUCAAAUCCUGGUGUUUAACCUCAUUGCGGUAUUCCUCUGUUGCAAGCCAAAAACAUUUCCAUGUCUCAGAAACACUUGCAGCUUUCACUCUAUGGCUAGAAAACACCUAUUUAGCCAGCAGGAAGAAGGCAGGUACCCAAGUGUCCAGGGCUAGCCUUAAACCCAUCAGCUGCAUGAAGUGCCUCCUUGGGGCACAUGGGGCUGUAACAACUGCCAAGAAGGGUGUGGACAGCUCUUUGCCCCAGAGGAAACAUCUCCCUAUUGUGUUAUCUGUUGUUGCACAAGUACACAGUAAAGACACUAACUGUUGAAACAAGCAAGUAGCCAUCAUUUUAUUACAGUAUCUCGUGAUUGCACAGGCUUGAGCUGGGCAGUGGCUCUCCUGGGGUCCCUGGGGUGGCUGGGUGAGUGUCUUACACCUCGGUGCUCUCCCACGUAGCCUCCCCCCACACUUCUCCCUGGCAGCUCAGGAAGGAAGACUACCCUGAAGUCAUAUCCCGUCAUAUCCUGCACAUUCUGCUGGUAAAAGUAGGCCCAGGCGAGAAUCACGGGCAGGCAUAGGGACUCACUUCUCUGCAUGCACAUCUUUGAGGGUGGCAUUGUGGGGCCAGCCUUGGAGGCCAACCACCACACUUCCUUUGUUAUUUGUGGGGCCCCAGAUUUUGUGUUGUGGGGCAGCACAGAUACA